rnacentral:rRNA from 1 species
GACGAACGCUGGCGGCGUGCUUAACACAUGCAAGUCGAACGGAAAGGCCCUGCUUUUGUGGGGUGCUCGAGUGGCGAACGGGUGAGUAACACGUGAGUAACCUGCCCUUGACUUUGGGAUAACUUCAGGAAACUGGGUCUAAUACCGGAUAGGAGCUCCUGCUGCAUGGUGGGGGUUGGAAAGUUUCGGCGGUUGGGGAUGGACUCGCGGCUUAUCAGCUUGUUGGUUGGGUAGUGGCUUACCAAGGCUUUGACGGGUAGCCGGCCUGGGAGGGUGACCGGCCACAUUGGGACUGGGAUACGGCCCAGACUCCUACGGGAGGCAGCGGUGGGGAAUAUUGCACAAUGGGCGGAAGCCUGAUGCAGCAACGCCGCGUGCGGGAUGACGGCCUUCGGGUUGUAAACCGCUGUCGCCUGUGACGAAGCGUGAGUGACGGUAAUGGGUAAAGAAGCACCGGCUAACUACGUG